GGGAAAGGCAAAAAGAACAAGAAGAACGCACCAGGAGCUUUUCCCAGCUAUCCGGAACACAAAGAAACCCAAGGAGCAGCCCAGCGCUCCCGGCGCGCUCCCUCGCCAGCCCCAGAGCCCCCGGGCCGCUGGGCCCGGCCGCUGAACUGCCCCGCGCUCGGCCCGGCCCCGGGCCCGCCUCAAAGGCCCAGCGCCCUUGGGCAGCGAGCGGCGGCUCGGGAGUAAAGCGGCUUCGGAACGUCACCCCGGGACAGGAUGGACUUUGCCAGGUGACAUAUUUGCCAAACAGCAGAGUUCAGGCCACAGUUUGCUUUUACCUGGAUGGGUAGGCAGUACACCUGGAAGUACACCAGGAAUGGACUGCCCCAGGGGUGGAAACAACCCCACUGGUUGCCAUGGACUGAUCCAGACUGCAUUGGAAGAGGGUGAGGCUCCACAACACUUGCAAUACAUUGAUGUGCCUGCCAACCAGCAAGAAGGAAACACAGGCUUUCCUAGGCACUGUGGGAUUUUGGAGGAUGCGUAUUCCAGGUUACAGUCAUAUUGUAAGCCCCCUCUAUCAAGUGACCUGGAAGAAAAAUGAUUUUAAGCGGGGUCCUGAACAACAAGCUUUUGAAUAAAUUAAAUGGGAGAUUGUUCGUAGAGUAGCCCUUGGAGCAGUCGAGUUAUGACAAGGUGUGAAAAAUAUGCUCUACUUGCAGCCAGUGAGAACGGGCCUUCCUGGAGCCUCUGGCAAAGAGUACCCAGAGAAACCUGAGGAUGACCCUGAGAUUCUGAAUUUGGGGAUACAAAGGAUCUGAAGCCCGUUACACCCCAACUGAAAAAGAGAUCCUGACAUCUUGUGAAGGGUUCAAGUUGCUUCAGAAGUGAUUGGCACUGAAGCACAGCUGGUUCUGGCACCCUGGCUACCAGUGCUGGGCUGGGUGUUCAAAGGGGAAGUCCCUUCCACACAUCGUGCCACUGAUGGUGUGUGGGGUAAGCGGGUUAUACUGCUCACACAGCAAGCUUGAAUAGGAAACCUCAAUCUCCCAGGGAUCUUGGAAGUCAUCAAGAACUGGUGUGAAGGAGAAAAUUUUGGGCUAUGAGCAGAGGAGGAGGACGAAAAGGUGACAUAUGCUGAGGAAGCCCCAUCGUACAAUCAGCUACCAGACAAUAUCAAACUCUUUAAAAUACCUUCUGAGUGUUGCCCAUGUCCUUACUUUCCUCUGUGGAAUUUGUGACCAGAACAGUGUUGACAACACACCAGUGUUUUAGCUGUUGCUGAGCAGUGCUCGUACGGUGUCAAGGCCUUUUCUGUUUCUCACUGCCGCUUUAUGGGAUUUGUGUAUUCAUCUUCGUAAAAAUGAUGACCUAUAUGACUUCCUGUGUAAUAAGGACAUGAGAGCUGUGUGCUGUCAUGUAGGAGUCAUCUUGGAGUAUUGGUAGUAAAAUGCAAGCAGUCUAGGAGUGUUUUGUACAAUAUAUAUGUAUUACUCCAAUGAACCAUUUAUUAGAAAACAUGACUGAAAUCACUCAUUUUUUCGUUUUCUGAAGAUCACCCAGAAACAGCAGUGUAGGUCAUCAGGAAAAUAGAUCUUAAGGAAAGUAACAAAAUUCACUUUAAAUUAUAUGAAAUCACAGAUUUUGGCACAAAUUCUCUAUGAACAGAACAGAAGAUGAAAUUUCUCUGUGAAAUUUUGGGGUUUUUUGGUUUUUUUUUUUUUUUGAUCCUGGAGUGAAAUACAAAAACUAGUGAAAGCGAAGAAAGAUUUUGGAAUGGCACCUGGUAGAAAAGGAGAAAACUAAUAUCACUAAAGUUGUGUGUGAAAAUAUUAACUUUGUUCUCUUCUCCUUCCUUUUCUCUCAUUUGGAUUAUAUAUGCAUAUUUUGAUAUUCAGUUUCAGACGUUCCAGUCCAUUGACACAGAAAUGAAAUGGUCUCCUUCCUGAAUGGAUUUUUUUUCUCUUACCUUAUUGAAGUAAAGGUUCAGAAAUGCUAACAAUUCUUGAUUUAAAUUAUAUGAAGGCAUUGCAGUAAGAAUUUAAAUGGCAGCAGUUGCAUAAUUCCUAUGUUAUGAAUAAUCUUCACCUGAAAAUUAACUUACUAAUUACAGCAGUUAAGUGUAAUUAUUCUGCCUUUUAAGGUACCUUAUUACUGCUUUUUAACAAUAAGACAAAGUCUGCCAAAGUUAAUUAUCAUAAUAAUAAUUUAGUGCACACUUUUGGUCUUGUUAGGAAUACAAUAUAAUCUUGGAGAAAUGAUCUUUUCUGUGUUAAUCAGUCAUUCACAAAGCUGUCUUUCAUGUUUCUUACUCCUCUGAGAAGUGGAUUGAAGCUUGGUAAUUGGAGAGACACCAAAUGACAGAAGAGAAUGUAUUGCUCUAUUCCAGGGCCUGGUUUUUGCCAAAUACUGAAAUGUUUUCAAAGGCUGAGUUAAGAUUCCUAGCAGUAAUAUAAAUGUCACAAAUUUUAAUAAUUCCCUUUAAACCCCCUUCAUUCCUCUGAUCCCAGACCUCUCAGAUGUAUACAUUUCUUAUUGAUUUAGUAUGUCACCAGAUACUACCAGACAAGCAGAGACCUCAGGUUUUUUUGCUAUGUUUUCUACUUUUUUAAAUCAAGGUCUGUUGCAUUUAUAUAGUUUCUCACAUCUGGCCGUAAUUUUAUAAAAUUGGCAAACCCCCAUCUUUAGGAAAAAAAUAAUUUUUUAUAAAGUACAUCUGGCAAACCUGGUUUUUAUUAGUAGCAUAGGCUUUGAUCUAUUUAAUUCUUUUUGUAAUAAAGUCAAGUGACACUGGUAUUCCUUCCUUCAUGAAUAACUGUCUUUGUAUUCAGGUGAGAUAAAAAAUGAAGCAAUCCUCUCUGUGAAAGAGACACUCUAAAUGGAACUCUAUCACAGAAUCCUUAAGAAUAAAUUUAUUAAAGUAAAUUUUUGUUUAUUAAUUGUGAACUUGGAGAAGUUUCUCUACAGGUGUGAGACUGUGUAUGAAGAAAGAUGAAAACUUUAUCAUCUAGUGUAUCAUAUUAGUGGAGCAAAACUUUUAAUACAUUUGCAGAGACCCUGAAUAGUAGCUGAAUUUUCUAAAAUAAAUAUUGUAUUUCUACUAUGACACUUGAUCCCCUCACUAGCCCCCAAAUUUAUUAAUCUCUUUUGUAUUGAGACCUUUGUCUGCUGUAAAUAGAUAACAAGGACAAGGCAGAUUUUAAAUUUGACAUCCAAAUUUGUACAACCAGCAGCCGUCUGGUGCUUUGUAAGCUAAAUUUGACUGACAGUAUUUGAUAGCCAUAACAAGAACCUAAAUUUACAAAAAAAUCAUUUUGUUUCUAAAAAAAGAUUUCAUGGAAUUUUGAACUAAGGGGUUCCUAGGUGUAAAAAUUACGUGUAUGGAAUACGGGCGUGGCACAUAAGAGGAAAACAGUCUCUUUGAGGAUGUCUGCUUCUCAUAGCAUAUUGAACAUUAUUACUUUUUACAGUUGCCAUGAAUAUCUGCUGACCAUGAGGUACAAAAUGUUUAUAUUCAGUACAUCUUUUCUAUUUUAUGUUGAAACCUUUCAUUCUUUAACAUUAUUUGAAAGGGCCGUCUUCUGGCUGCAUUAUAGUUGAUUCUUAUGCUUAACAUUCCUGCAUUGCUUACAAAGUAUUACAGAUAAUAAUUUUGACUCUCAGAGACUAGUAGUGGGUUAAUAUUUAACUCAAUUCCAAUAUGCAUUGCUCAAAAUAGCAUUUGUGUAGAGAUGCCUUUUGGUCUUUGAAACAACAUAGUUAUAUCUGAGUUUUGUACUUUGCUACUUAAAGCCCCUAAAAUAUGAAUUUAAAACUGGAGAUUCACUUUUUUUAAUAAUACCCUCUAUAAUAGGAAAAACAGUCUUCAUGAUUUUGGAUUUUGUUUUUCUUAAAUACCUGUGGAACAGCCGGUGACAGCAAGGGUGCUGAGUGUUGCACCAAAUAUAAGGAACAAUUGCAAUGAUUUGACAGUAUUAAAAUUUCACUCUAGCAAGACUUUUACUGCAAUAUAGUUUAAGCAGUCUAUUUGUCAUAUACAGAGACAAUGAGAAACAUUAGUUGCCUGUUUUUUUUUAUGGUCCUUUUAAAAGCCCCUCCUGCAAGUGAAUUUCAUACGUUACCUGUGUGGUUCUGAAAAUUAUAUUAUGAUAAACAUUUUAGAAAAUGUAGAGAUUGAUUUUUAGGAUAAUUGAGAGAUAUAAUUAUCUGGAAUAUUUUAUUUUUCUUUUAGAUCACUGGAGUUUUUAAAAUGACUGGAAAAUUCUCAAAAUUUUUUUCUCAUCCACAAAGACAAUGCCUUUGAAAUAUGAGUGUCACUUCAAUAGCUUGUUUUCUUUCCAAUUUAUUUUUAUUUCAAAGAGCUAUUUCACAGUAUUUCUGUGGCCAGCAUUAUAGGCUUGCUUGAAUGGAGAAAGCUCCACCGAGACAAAGGCCUGAGAAACCAUUUAGAAAGUAAAUUCUUUGCUGCAGUUUUGCGAUUUUACAGACAAAUUCUGUUCUCAUGUGUGAGAAUGAGCGUGCGUGUGCUCUCAUAUUCUCCAGAGCUCCUAGAAUUUAGUCUACUCAGGUGAGUGAUAUCCCAAAAUUAAAUGAAUGGCAUCCAUAGUAAAAUAAAAUUGCAUACAGGAAAAGAGAAGCCAUAAUGCAGGAUAUAAACAGUACUUAUGCUUAGCGAUAAGUUUUCUUUGGCUUUUAUUGGAUAUUGUUUAAUUUCAGUGGUAACUAAACUGUCUUUUUCUGUGAAGUAGUGUAUUUUACAGCCCAACAUCAGCUCAGGAAUUUCACAUCCUCUCCUGAAUUUUUCUCAAAAUCUGCUCACACUCUCUUUUUUGAAUAAAAGUUUUAGGAAAGCAAAUAAAUUUAUUCAAUAUACAUGCAUAAACAGUGAGUAUUACCUCACCUUGCACUCUUCUCUUUUUAAGUCCUUCACUCAAUCUCUCUCUUUGCUGAUACAAGAUUUUGGGGCAUCAUCUGGCUCACAUCUCUGACUUCCCUGCUUCAGCUCAAGCACAUGGAUGCCCUUUUCAAUAAGUGGAGAGGAUGAGAUGAUGCAUGCCCUUAUCUCAGCAGAUAAUCAGGCUAUUGUAGGAUGCAUACAUUGAUUCUUCAAGUCAGACUCUGUGAUUAAGGAUUGUUUUCAAUACUGUGUAGCACUGACUGUACUUCGAAUGAGCUGUUUUGAAUAAAAAGCCCAAGUGAUUUUAAGUUUUUUUUAAAAGGAAAAAAAUAAAAAAGCUUAACAGCCUAUCCUCUUUUGCAGGCAAGGAGUAAUCUGUGAGGGCAGCAAAGUUAUUAUGUGAAAAGUGCAAAUCUCAAAUACCUGCAUUCAAGUCACCAGUAGGAGUGGGUUGCCUUAUGCCAGUGAUUCUGUCGUGUCUUCCCAUUCCAACUGACGGCAUGACCAAGCAAAAAUCACAAACUAAUGGCAAAUGACCAAACCCUCCAAACAAACCAAUAAACAAACAAUCUUACUGAAAAACCCAAAAGCUUUAUUUGUAAUUCCUUUAAGUAAGCCUGGUAUUUCAUCCCCUUGCCUGAAUGGUGUUUGAUGAGAACAUAGCAUAGACACCACUGCUUGAAUAGGAAGGAAAAUCAGAACUGUGAUUGGGUUAGAGGCAGUGUUAAACUUCUGCAUUCUUUCUUGCAUUUUUAAUGGAAGAUAUUAAAAUACUAAAUAGCUAUCUUGACUGAGGAAAAGGUGACUGGCUGCCAAUCAUUUUAAGAUAUUCCAUGUACAUAUAUUAUUAGGAGGACUCCUUGAGCAAGAUAAAAUAUAUACUGAACAUUUCUAGGAACUGUAAUAACAUUCAGUGGCAUGGGAUUGUCACCUUAUUUAGGGUGAGGAAGGGAGGAAGGUUCAAAAGAGAUGGCUGAGGAAUUAGAACAAGAUUAGCAUGCCACACAUGAAGAGUUUAGUGUCUCCUAAUAGUAAAAUCUGAGCAAAUUCUGCAUUGUUACCACAGCAAGCAUUAGCAUAGCUGUGUUGCUCUACAUGAUAAGUAGUGUAGCAGGAAUUGACUUGAAACACAAUUACAUUUUUAAAUUAGAACAGGAUCAGUAUUAUUCAACACAAAUAUCAAGAAAAUGACAGAUCUCUGUGGAAGAAGUAAAAGAAGAAUCCUUGUUCUAUCUUAAGUUGGGCAGCCACUUCUAGAAAUAAUGGGAUGUGCUAAAGCCAUACUGGUUUCCUUUUAUUUCUGGGGGAUGUGUCUCAAAUGAGGAAAAGUCAUUGCUGCAUUAAAGAAGAAAUUAUGAAGAAUAUCUGUGUAUAUGUGCAGGAUGAUAAACAGAAUAUAAAAUGUGUCAUCUUUACAUCUUCUGUUCUUAAGAACCAGACUUUACUACGGCUAGAUAAAAACUGGGCUUAUUAGUCUGUCAAGAUUUUAUGAGAAAUUGAAAGCUCUGUCUGAGAGCAAUGUAGAAUGAGAAAAGAUGUUUGAAAACUAGCAGGUUCAUAGGCCAAUAAUAUUAUUUCCUUCCCAUCUUUGUUUUUGAAAGUCUUAACACACUACUGUCUUUCAUAUGGUUUGUUUGUGCCUACAAACUGAAUACAGAACAUUAAUAUUUUAAGCAUCAAUUUAAUAAUAGUUAACAUACUCAUUAGUAGGAUAUACUAAUAAUUAAAAAUGUAAAUAAUUACAAGUGGGAAAGAGAUAAGGCUUAUGAGAGCCUCCUAGAUUUGAUUUGGAGUGAAAAACAAUUUAAAAAGUUAUUGACAGCUUUAAGUACUUGUUAAUGAAAGUGGGAAUAUUACAAUAAGUUUUGUUUCCUGGCUACAGGUUGAAUAUUGCAAUUUUGUUUUAAAUUCACUAAUGCAUUGUGAAUGAUGGAAAGAACAGGGUCUUUUCUGUAACAUUACUCAAAAACCUACAUAAAAGUCAUGUUUCUCUUGCUCUUGAGGUUGUUUUAUUGUCUAUGUGUCACCACAGCUGACACAACUUUCCCUCAAAGUUGUCAUUUUUGAGGGAAAGUUUCAUAACCCUUCUGUAACUCUAGUUUGACACUUAAUUAGACUUGGCUGCUUGAUGAGAUUGCAGCAGUAAUUAUGUCUGCAUAUCCUUUUUCACGUGAAAUAUGUAGUCAUUAGCCAUUGUCAGCUAUUUUGGCCUUUUGAGAAGAGAGCCAGCAAACAAUUCUAACAGCAUUUGAAAUAAAUGUCUAAUUGCCUGCUGCAUAUCUAAUUAAAAUCUAAAUGCAGACACUGAUGAAAAUUCUUAGACAUUUUGAGAAAAGUAAUCUGAAAUAAUUGAGAAAUCUGGUCACUUUAUAGGUACCUGCCAUUGUGCAAGUGUAAGCUUGACUUGCCAUUCUAAUUACAGUUUGCAUUUGUCUGUAACUGGAUCUUGCCCAGGGCUAAAUGAUAGAGGUGACGCAGGUGGCUUUGCCAUAAAUACUGAAUAGUACAUGUGACAUCAAAUACUGAGCUUCAUAUUUCUGUAGAGCACAGGGUGGAGCUAUUGACCACAAUGGAUAUUAAACUGCACAAUCAAUAUUGAUUAAAUACAUCAAAAGAGAUCUGGUGACUCCUUGUCAAUUAGUUUGGGUUGGUUUUGUUUUAACGUCACAAAUUGCCUGUGUAUUUAUUGCUUACUAUAUUUAGUUGCUUUUUAAUGACUUCAUAAUUAUAGAAAUGCUUCUUCUACAUCAGUGGGCUUUUGGACAUAUUACUGCAGCCAUGGUUAGUUAAAUAUAUGAGAUGGUACUUCACACUUGUGAUCAGAAGAUGGGAAGUGUACAUUUAAAGGUGUUGUAUAUACUUUGUCCAUGUUAAGAAGGAUUACUUAUCACAGAAUUAUCAAGAUGACAAUUAAAUUCUUAACAUGUAA